rnacentral:rRNA from 1 species
GCACAAGCGGAGGAGCAUGUGGUUUAAUUCGAAGCAACGCGAAGAACCUUACCAGGUCUUGACAUCUAGUGCCAUUUGUAGAGAUACAAAGUUCCCUUCGGGGACGCUAAGACAGGUGGUGCAUGGCUGUCGUCAGCUCGUGUCGUGAGAUGUUGGGUUAAGUCCCGCAACGAGCGCAACCCUUGUUAUUAGUUGCCAGCAUUAAGUUGGGCACUCUAAUGAGACUGCCGGUGACAAACCGGAGGAAGGUGGGGAUGACGUCAAGUCAUCAUGCCCCUUAUGACCUGGGCUACACACGUGCUACAAUGGGCAGUACAACGAGAAGCGAGCCUGCGAAGGCAAGCGAAUCUCUGAAAGCUGUUCUCAGUUCGGACUGCAGUCUGCAACUCGACUGCACGAAGCUGGAAUCGCUAGUAAUCGCGGAUCAGCACGCCGCGGUGAAUACGUUCCCGGGCCUUGUACACUCCGCCCGUCACAGCAUGGGAGUCUG